rnacentral:rRNA from 1 species
CAGUAGCCACGGGAAUACGAAGGGGGCUAGCGUUGUUCGGAUUUACUGGGCGUAAAGCGCACGUAGGCGGACUUUUAAGUCAGGGGUGAAAUCCCGGGGCUCAACCCCGGAACUGCCUUUGAUACUGGAAGUCUUGAGUAUGGUAGAGGUGAGUGGAAUUCCGAGUGUAGAGGUGAAAUUCGUAGAUAUUCGGAGGAACACCAGUGGCGAAGGCGGCUCACUGGACCAUUACUGACGCUGAGGUGCGAAAGCGUGGGGAGCAAACAGGAUUAGAUACCCGCGUAGUCCCUGUCUCUUAUAC